UACAAGCCCUAAAAGAACAUCCUUCUUCUCAUGCACUUUGAGUUUAUCUUCCAAAUUUUUUGUCGGCAACAAGUAUCAAUACCUAAAUUCAAGAGUUGCUGCCACAUAACACCCGAGGUGUUGUAUUUGUUAGAUGAACUAUGAGGAUGACGAGUAUUUGGCGAAAAAAUUUCACAAACAUCUAUACCAUCCUGAGAGCUUUAAUAUUUACUAAAGUAGUGAGUGGGCAAGAAAGUCAAUUUACACAAAGGUGAGGUAUAUGGAUCUCUUUUUAAUGAUACUUGAUCAAAUUCCUAUUUGAUCCGCAAGAAAAUGUAAAGAACCAAGAAAUGGCAAUAAGAAUACAAUGGUCUUACCGUUUCUACCAUCGUCACAUGGAUAUCAAAGCAAGAUGCAAUAAGAUCAUGUUAGUUAUGUUUGUAGGUAUCAUGUUGAAUAUUCGAGAACUUGUUGAAGAUUUUAACGAUGUUGCUUACUACUUCGACUCUUACCAAACUCAUAUGAUCAAUGAUUGGGUUUUAUGGGAACUUAAUUGUUUCUAGAAACUCUUGGCUAUUCAUCCUUACUAUAAUAUAGCAUUUUUUUAAGCACAAAAAUAUAUUUUAUUAUUGCGUUGUUUUCACAGUGGCAUGAGUUUUCAACCAAUGAUUGAGUAUGUAAUGUCGGUCAAGAACCCAUGGCAUUGUAACAAUAACCAUAACAAUAAAUAGUAUUUCUAUGAUUAAAAAAUGUUAUAUCAUAAUACGGAUGAAUAGUCAAAAGCUUCUAAAAAUAAUUAAGUUCCCAUAAAAUCAAAUCAUUUGUCCUAAGAGUUCAGCAUGAGUCGAAAGAGUAAGCACCGCUAUCAAAAUGUUCAACAAGUUCUCAAAUAUUCAACAUGGUAACUGCAAACAUCACCUUCUUGAGUCUUUCCCCAAUAUCCUUGUGGUUGUGGUAGAAAGGACAAGAACAUAGGAAAUUUGUUGACAUCAGCUUGGUUCUCUGCAUUCUCUUGCAUAUCAACUAGAAAUUUGAUCAAGUGCCAUAAAUAGGAGAUCUAAUACAUUGCACCUUUCGUAUAAAUUGAUUUUUUCGUACACUCAGAUUUCGCAAACUCUUGAGGUCAUCGAAGGUUCAGACUUUUCCAACAACUAGUCUUUGAGGAAAAAGCAUUGCACAACGCAACCUUUUGGAACAAAAAAAACUUGAAAAAUGAAGACUAUGCAAGAUUAAAUGCCAAAGCAACAUACAUAUAUAGUGUAGUACUUAGUCCAGGCUUUAAUACAACCACGUACACAUUGCUUGACCCAUGUGAGGUUUUCAAUCUUCCAACCCUUAAAUUAGCACAAAGAGUUGUAUAGAUUCCUCUAAUUGGCUUUUUCGGCAGGUUAAGAUUCAAUCUAGACAUCCACAUCAAAUCUAUAUUUAUCUUGUUAGUAAAAAUGCUAGUGAUUAGUGGUGUGACCCUAUGUGGUCCACUUACAUUGUCCGCUAAUGAUAAUAGAUUGCAUAAUGAAGUACCUGCUUUUGGUUUUGGUCUGCAAUCAUCAACUAAGUUUUGGUUUUGGUCUACAAUCAUCAACUAAUUUUUUUUUUGGCUUGCCAUCAAUGGAGUCCAUCUUCAGUGCACACUUGAACAUACUCUAUAAUGGAGGAGUCUAUAAAAGGAUGCAUCUUCAGCUUCAUGAGUCCCUGAACUCACUCUACUACAGAGCUACACAUCAUCUGAGCUGCAUAGAAGAGUUUGGAAGGCUCAUAAAAGUUUUACACAUCAGAGUUACAACAACCAUUCAAAACAACAAGGAAAGCAAUGGCGGGAGUCAUGCCUCCUAAAGAAAAGCAUUCAAAGUAUGGUGUUGAAUCAUCUCAUGGAUAUCUAGUGCCUGCGGAGACAACGCUACUUCAAGGGGGUCUAAACUUUUUUCUAGGAAACAACAUGAGAUUGUAAGUAACUUAUGUUUUUUUCUUGUUGGAUCUUAAUGGGCAUUGAUUUCUAUUUGACAUUGAACUUAUAUGAUAAUGAGUUAUAUAUAUAUUAUUUGAAGUAAAGGCUAGACAUAUUCUGUGUCAAGUUAAAAAAAAAGGGAUGGAUAUGUUUUCCUAGAAUACUAUAG